GAGUAAUGUCUGGGAAACUGCCUGAUGGAGGGGGAUAACUACUGGAAACGGUGGCUAAUACCGCAUAACGUCGCAAGACCAAAGAGGGGGACCUUCGGGCCUCUUGCCAUCAGAUGUGCCCAGAUGGGAUUAGCUUGUUGGUGAGGUAACGGCUCACCAAGGCGACGAUCCCUAGCUGGUCUGAGAGGAUGACCAGCCACACUGGAACUGAGACACGGUCCAGACUCCUACGGGAGGCAGCAGUGGGGAAUAUUGCACAAUGGGCGCAAGCCUGAUGCAGCCAUGCCGCGUGUAUGAAGAAGGCCUUCGGGUUGUAAAGUACUUUCAGCGGGGAGGAAGGUGUUGUGGUUAAUAACCGCAGCAAUUGACGUUACCCGCAGAAGAAGCACCGGCUAACUCCGUGCCAGCAGCCGCGGUAAUACGGAGGGUGCAAGCGUUAAUCGGAAUUACUGGGCGUAAAGCGCACGCAGGCGGUCUGUCAAGUCGGAUGUGAAAUCCCCGGGCUCAACCUGGGAACUGCAUUCGAAACUGGCAGGCUUGAGUCUUGUAGAGGGGGGUAGAAUUCCAGGUGUAGCGGUGAAAUGCGUAGAGAUCUGGAGGAAUACCGGUGGCGAAGGCGGCCCCCUGGACAAAGACUGACGCUCAGGUGCGAAAGCGUGGGGAGCAAACAGGAUUAGAUACCCUGGUAGUCCACGCCGUAAACGAUGUCUACUUGGAGGUUGUGCCCUUGAGGCGUGGCUUCCGGAGCUAACGCGUUAAGUAGACCGCCUGGGGAGUACGGCCGCAAGGUUAAAACUCAAAUGAAUUGACGGGGGCCCGCACAAGCGGUGGAGCAUGUGGUUUAAUUCGAUGCAACGCGAAGAACCUUACCUGGUCUUGACAUCCACAGAAGAAUCCAGAGAUGGAUUUGUGCCUUCGGGAACUGUGAGACAGGUGCUGCAUGGCUGUCGUCAGCUCGUGUUGUGAAAUGUUGGGUUAAGUCCCGCAACGAGCGCAACCCUUAUCCUUUGUUGCCAGCGGUUAGGCCGGGAACUCAAAGGAGACUGCCAGUGAUAAACUGGAGGAAGGUGGGGAUGACGUC
rnacentral:rRNA from 1 species